CGCCAAGUUGAGCGCUUCGUAUCGUCGUCUCCUGCGCGCAUCCGUCCACUUCUUCGUUUCCCAGCUUUUGGCCCAGCUGGGUCUGUACAAGAGCAAGGAGGAGGCCGCCAGGCAAGAAGAGGUGCUGGGGAAGCUUGACAAGAUUGUGAAAGAGUGGGUUAAGGAGUUGGCUAUUU